rnacentral:lncRNA from 1 species
GGCUUGGCGCACCUUGACCAAGUCAAAUGUUCAAACAUUUCAGCCACAGCUAUGGUUGGCUCGACAUACCCAACAAAUUACUUAAUCUGGAUGAUAGAACUCUGAUAGGAGAAUUGGGUUGAGUGGAUAACAGGUUUGGGUUGUGAUCCAAAAGAUGCUACAUAAAGGGAACACGAUGUUGAAUGCUUGUCAUGAAUCCUCUGCAAGUAUUUACCAAUAAAUUGUACGGUGUUCAUCGUUUCCUCACCUCAUUGUAA